GCACUGUAAUUGGAACAUACAGACGUCCUCAUCUGAUGCUUCGCGGGGGCUCGAUUUAGUCAUCGAGGUUGACGUGAAUGAUGUAUAGGUCUGCCAAAGUGUACGGGGGCUCUUACAAAUCUCGCCCGUGAUAUAUAUGGGUCAUAUUAUAGAGACACUGGAUGUUUUGUGUCUGAGAAGGAAGUUCUAUCAGUCGUUCACCAAUGGCCACCUCAAUGUCACCUUCGCUUCUGAGCCCACAUACGUUGGGUUGGGCUUUAGAAUUUCUUAUUACGCGGCAGAGAGAAAGCACAGCUGUAAGCAUGAGGUCAUGCUGACCAAGAACAACUCACCAUACCGCCUGGACUACCAAGUGAUGCCU